AAAACUUUCAACAACGGAUCUCUUGGUUCCAGCAUCGAUGAAGAACGCAGCGAAAUGCGAUAACUAAUGUGAAUUGCAGAAUUCAGUGAAUCAUCGAGUCUUUGAACGCACAUUGCGCCCCUCGGUAUUCCGGGGGGCAUGCCUGUUCGAGCGUCAUUA
rnacentral:rRNA from 7 species